rnacentral:snoRNA from 1 species
AUCAGCAUAUAAAACCAAUCGACA